ensembl:lncRNA
GAGGAGAGGAGAGGAGAGGAGAGGAGAGGAGAGGAGAGGAGAGGAGAGGAGAGGAGAGGAGAGGAAGAAGUCAGGGAUUCUGUCACAGAGCAAAAAGCUAGAGGUCUUCUGACUAAAUUGUGAGCUCAGGAGAGCAGAGCUGUUGUCUGUGCUGUACAGAUAAGAAGGGAAUCAGUUGAUAAGGGUUUCUUGUGACGUCAUUCCAGCAUAUACUGCCAAUCCCUCUUCCUGCCUCAGUAGUUAGAAAAAGUUUACAGAGAAACUUUUUGUCUUUACUUUCAGUAGUUGAUAAGAGUGUCUUCAAACUGCCUUGUAUGUUACUAGGAGAAAGCAACUUCACAAUGUAAAAGGACCAUAUUCAUAUAUACAUGAAUACACAUUGAGCUCACUAGAUUCUCAGUUCUAGAGGUUGUAUAUUCAAUAACACAUGCAUGCAAAUAUGCAGUCUCCUCCAAAACAGACUUUUCUCAAAGCUCAAAUGCAUGGAGAGACAUUCCACUGUCCUGUGGCACCUGGUAGAAUGAAGGCUUGCAUAUCCAACUGAUAGUAUGGAAAAUAUAAGCAUCCUUCUGGAGAAACUGCUCAACUAUGAGCCAGCAGUGUGUCCUGACAGCCAAAAGGACAAACCACAUUUUGGGGUGUGUUAGACACAGCACAGCCAGCUGCUCAAAAGAGGCAAUUCUUCAGCUAUAUUUAGUGCUGGUGCAACCACCUCUUAAAUACCAUGUGCAGUUCUGUGCUCCACAAUAUAGAGGGAAAGUUAAAAUACUUGAAUGGAUGCAAAAGAGGGUAUCAAAGCUGGUAAAAGUGCUAGAAGAUGUGUCCUGGGAGGAAAAGCUGAGGAUGUUCUGGCUGACUGGUAUAGAUGAAAGGAGGACAAGCCGUUAGGAGGAUGACAGCAACGACGGAUGUUAAUGAAGACCUUCCUGCAGAAGAAAAGAGAAAGAACGUGGGGAGAGGGGUGCCCUCCAGCUGAGGAGGGGACCCCGUGCGUGCGGGUGAGAUGGGGCUUAGCCCUGAAGUUUUCUAGGGUUCCCCUUGCGUGCGGGUGGAACUGGGGUGCCCUCUGGCUGAGGAGAGGACCCCGUGCAUGGAUGUGAGAUGGGGCUUAGCCCUGAAGUUUUCAAGGGUUCCCCUUGCGUGUGUGUCAAACUGGGGUGCCCUCCAGCUGAGGAGAGGACCCCGUGCGUGGAGGUGAGAUGGGGCUUAGCCCUGAAGUUUUCAAGGGUUCCCCUUGUUUGCAAGUAGAACUGGGGUGCCCUCCGGCUGAGGAGAGGACCCCGUGCGUGGAGGUGAGAUGGGGCUUAGCCCUGAAGUUUUCAAGGGUUCCCCUUGCAUGCGGGUCAAACUGGGGUGCCCUCCGGCUGAGGAGGGGACCCCGUGCGUGGAGGUGAGAUGGGGCUUAGCCCUGAAGUUUUCGAGGGUUCCCCUUGCGUGCGGGUGGAAAUGGGGUGCCCUCCGGCUGAGGAGGGGACCCCGUGCGUGGAGGUGAGAUGGGGCUUAGCCCUGAAGUUUUCAAGGGUUCCCCUUGCGUGCGGGUGGAACUGGGGUGCCCUCCGGCUGAGGAGGGGACCCCGUGCGUGGGGUAGAAGCCCCUGGUGAAGGGGUUUCUCCCCUGAGUGUGAGUGUGUGUGUGUACCUGUUUCUUGUUGCAAUUUCAGGUCCACUGUCUGCUCCAUAGCCAAGGUGGCCUUGCUGUUCUUUAGGGUCUGACCCUGCUCUCGUCUUCAUGCCCGUCUUCUGUCUGACGGCCAUGUGCAGGUAUCCGAGGCUGAGCUUCUGGCUGGUGUUGCGCUUUUUCUCAGGGAUCUCCUCCUUCGCAGGGUCUCUCAGUUCCA